CGAUGAAUGUGGUGUGUUGUUGAACAUUUCGUGUUACGCCCGUGUAAUCUAAAAAUGGACUUGAUAAAAAAGUUCUACGACAGUGACGAAGAAAGUAUAAGUUCAGAAAAAGAUGUUGAGUUAGAAGGUGGUGCUGGAAAAUGGUACGAUUGGGAUGAAACUUCCUUCGGCGAUGGAGGCAGUGAUGGUGUGGAAUCUAGCGGAGGAUCAAACUUGAAACGCGUUCAGAGGAAGAAGACGAAAAAACAAAUUCAACAACUCGAAUCCGCGAGCAAACGCCGAAACGCCCACACGAUUAAAUUGAUUGAUUGUCACUGUAGAUAAGGCUGCAGUAACCUUGUAGCUAAGGACGACCGAUUAGCUGUACAUCGGUAGUUUUGGGAGCUUGACGUCGCCGGCCAACGAAGCUACGUUCAAGAACGGGUUGUGCGUAUACCAGUAAACAAACGAAUCCGGCUGUACACCUCUCCAAACGACCCAAACAAAAUGCAUUCCUAUAAUUACCACAUUCGAAGUACUGCCAGGAAUGAGUUUAUUCGAGUGUGUCGAAAGUUUUUCAUGAACACGAUUGGAUACGAUGAUCACUGCGGGAAUAUUGUUUACCGAAUGGCUAACGACGAAAACACCUAUCUUGAACUAGAUGACACGUCUAGACCACCGAAACGAGGAAAAUAUGUGUGCAGCACCCAGAAACGUGACUCCGUCCAAGCAGAAAUUCAAAAAUAUAACCCUACGAUUUCUCAUUAUCGACGUGCUCAUGCACCAAACAGGCUAUACCUUCCGGCGGAUUUUAGUGAGAAAGUUAUGCAAAAAGCAUGAUUUAAAUGUCUCCUAUGCGUUUUAUUGCCGUGUUCUAAAGGACAUGAACAUAUCCCUAGUAAAGCACCAAAAGCAUAUCGGGAAGACAGAGAUGAUAUGAUACCUGGAAAUGUUGUUCUGACAGUCGAUCUCCAAAAGGUUGUGCAAUUGCCCAGAUUGGAUGGCCUUAAAACUGUGGUUUUCGCACAAAGAUUAAUCGCUUUCAACGAGACCUUUCACCGGGUCGUCGAAAGGUUCAGUGGCAUGGAAAGAUUAGUGUUAUGGCUCGAUAACUGCACUUCACAGAACAAAAAUUGGAACCUAUUUCUGCAUUUGAUCGUUCUGAUCAAUUCUGCGACUGUUCAGUUGAAGAAAGUGGUUCUCAAGUACUUUGAGCCCGGGAACACGUUUAUGUCCGCAGACAGCUUCCACGCUGCAGUGGAAGGAGGAAUGCGGAGCACCCAUUACCUACCCUGACUUUAAGGCCGUCGUUGAAAGAGCAAAAUCAAAGGUUGAUGUUCUAGAUAUGCUACCGGACCAUUCUUUUACUAACGUCUUCAGCAUUUCGCAAUACAUGCUAAAUAAAAUUAAGCCGCGCCCGUACAUUGACCAAAUUCGUAAAGUCGUAAUAAAA